CCCGCGUAAAGCCAGCUGAGAAGUGUGUCAACUUUGCGCGGUCUCUGCCGCAGCCCGCUAAGAGGCAGAGAGGCUCCCGCGGGGGAAGGAGCUGGCCGCUGUCGGGCACGGGGGUCCCCGGGGCACAACAAGGAGGCGGCCCCGCGAUGCCAGAGACGGGCGCACCCCCGGGGACAGCCUUCCCCCUCCCCGGCGCCACGACCGGGGCCGCAAUACCGCCUUAAACGCGCGAGCGCGGGGUUUGGGGCGCCACCGCCCCUCCCGCGAUUUGCAUAGCCAAUAGCUCUGGGGCUCUCGCCGCUGCGCGCUGAUGGUUACCGGGCAGAUUAUAUUUUAAGGACGCCUGGUGCACGGCCUGGGAAGCAGCCGGCGACGGAGGGGGGUCAGGCGCAGCCUCUCACCUGGCCGCGCCGGCCCCGCCGGCCCCGGGCAAGGUGGGCCCGUGGGCCACCGCCGCCAGCAAGCGGGCAACCGCGCCCCCUCCCUCCCCAGCCCUGCAGCCAACGGAGGGGAGCGAUGGGACCGACUUUGCCAUGCAUUGUAGUUCCGCGGAGUACAGCCGCGAAGGCUCCGUGCAAAAAGCGGCUGGGACGGCCCCGCGCCUAGCCAAGUCGUUUUAGCCCGUCGGAGCCAAAGGCUGCUUCGCCAUCGAAAAGCCACCAGGACUUGGCCCGGGCCGGGACAGCCGAGUCCUCAAGGCGCUGCUAACAGCAUUCUCCCACCCCAUACAUGGUCGUCCCCCGUCCUCUCCACGAAGCGAGAGGCUGCCGGGCGCCGUCGGGGAGCUGCCGCGCACCACGUGUGGCCCCUCGCACCCCCGGCAGCAGGAGUUUAUCGGGAACGAGCCCGCGGCAGGCGGCACCGGGAGUUUUGCCGGUGCUUGAAGCCUGAAGACUGCAGUAUGAAACAUGAGAAUCUUAAAGUGAAACCGACUGGAAGCCAAAAAAGAAACAGAUGAACAUGUUUCCAUUGUCCAAGCUACUGAAAGAAAGCCCUGAAAGCAAACAAAUGCCAUGAAUAAUAAAUACAGUGUAUAUUAGAUUUAAAAGAAAAUUAUUCCAGCUUCAAUCACUGGAAGCAAUCUAUCUUGGUGUUUUGUUUUGUUUUUUAAUAUCUGAUUUUUACCUAUUCAUAGUUAAGUUCCAUGCUGUGCAUUCAACAGGAACAGGAACAGCAUGAUAAAAAAAUCUUUUCUUUCCUCUGUUUUUCCUAAUUAAAAGUUAGGAAAGGAUUUGGAUACCGCAGGAACUGCUGCAUGUAUUUUCAAGGAGUUUCAUGCUGCCCACAUAUUUUCAAGGAGUUAUUUUUAAUUGUGCUGACAAUUUUCAGCUCUAAAUGUCUGUGUUGUGGGAGCUUUAUCAUUGGUAGCCACCUUAUGUAACAUAAUGACAGAGCAGGUGAAAUACUCCUUUCUGUUUUAUGCAAAGUGUCUUCAUUAUCCUUCUUCAUUCCUUAGUUUUAUCUUCUUUAGAGAAAUAAAUUGUCGCUUGUGUUUGUGCAGUGCCCGGUGCGAGGAGUGUACAGCUCCACUCAUAGAUGUCUGUAUUAGGUGAGAUUGGAAGGCACUCAAAAAAGAGCUACGAAAAUGACCAAGCACGUGGAAGUCACAUCUUGUGCUGGAAGACUUUGCAAGUUCAGCACAGUUAGCCCUCGGACACUUCAGAGGUUCACAUGGACAUAAUUAUAGAGAAAUGUAGAGAGAUUCAGAAUGGUAGAGGUGGCAGUGGUGCAUUUAGGCAGAGAACAAACAACUUUUCAGCUGCAAGUUUAUUAACCCCUCUAUAUUUCAGUUAAGGCAGCAUCUUUUGGUUAGACAGUAUUAACAUCUAAAAAGUGUAUUCCACAGCAAACUGAAGUUGCAGAGUUGAAGCAGAAGUUACUACGUUGGGAUUCUUUGACCUGUGUUACACAAAAAAUCAGAGACAUAGUCCCUGUGACAUCUUCUGAUGACAUUAAAACCGAUGGAUCUGUGAAUCUAUACAGAACCUGUAAUUUCCAGUUACAUGGGCACAUGCAGAAUUAGGGCUAGAUUUUGCAGUUUUUCCUGGAGCCAAAGUAGAUUAAAUUGGUGAGAAAUUUCUGCUGAGUGAGCUACAGCUCUGGAAUUGUGGUUGUUCUCACUACACAGGGGACAUGGAAAUUUCUGUCUUUCCUAACUUUCCUGGUGCCACAGCCUUAUCUUGCCGGGGUGCCAUGUACUUCCCAGCAAGUGCUGCAGACUUGAUCCUCUCUUUGGUGAGCUCAGCGAGAAGGCUGCCACUCGUUUACAGGGAGCAGGUGCCUCCCACACGCUAGAAAAUCAGCUGAAACGGAGAGCACUUGACAUUUGCACAGAAUCGGACCCAUGGUAUGCAACACCUUACAUAAACUUUGUCAUUCUUUUUUGAGAAGUGGUGUAAGGAAAAGCUGGCUGUUGGAGCAGAUAUUUGAAAGGUCGAGAACAAGUUCUGGCAAAUUACAGCCCAGCACUAGGAAAGAAGGGAGUGGUGCCUGUUUCCCUGUGAAUGAAUGGGUGGAUCAUUAAAUACUGUUGGCACCUGAAAGGCUUCUUUACCUGAGGAGAACAAAGGAAUUGCUCCAUCCUGGAGAAAAUCAGAGCUAUCCAACUUCUGUGAAGCAGGCUGUGACUGAAGGAAAAGCAUUCCCUUAGAAGCGGGGCUAAGAAGCCAUGUGCUAAGAAAGCUUGGGGAAAAAAAAAAAAAAAAAAAAAGGAACAGAAGAACAUGCUUCUGUAAAAGAACAGUCCUUCAUAAUGAGACAUCACCUCAGCAUGAGAGCUGCAGUGGAAAGACUUCAGUUUCUUGUGGAGACGUCUUGUGCAGGAGUGAAAGAAGGUCUUCCUGAGAAAAUCUGGACAGGAACUGAAGUAAGACAAAAGAUGGCGAAGAAGCAGAGGCAGAGAAAUAUACAUAGGCCCUUCUACUGCUUCAUUAUCUCUAUAUACUUCUUGUGCAUGUCAAGUGCACAGUGAUUAGUUUUACAAAUGUUAUGCAGUCUAUUAUGUAUUUUAACUGUGAUCUAUUCCUGAGGUGGUAAAUUAUAAAAGGGAGGGCCUGCAAGGGUGGAGUGCGUGGAGAAGUACAGGCUGAAACUGCUAGAGAGGUGGAAAAGCCAACCUAAGACCCCGGUUCUGCCUGUGGGGUCCGAGGAAGAAGCACUGAAGGGAGGACCUGUGCUCUGAGACAUGCUUGCAAACAUAUUGUUCAAAGCAGUGUCUGGGGUCUGUUUGGUUUAAGGAAGCAAAAAAACCACUCGAGUUCAACAUGCUGUGAUCCAGACACAGCAGUAUUAUGAAUAUUCAGAAUAAAAACUAUGUAAGGUUUUGAAAGGAUUUAGCAGUUUUUUGGUGCUGUGGGCUUUUUGCUCAUUUUUUCCUUUUUUUCUUGUGAAAGUCAGAAACAGAUUGAAAUUUGCUGACUCCAGCCCUUAGAAGAUGGUUCAAGGGACCAAGCUUCUGGCUCAGACUUUCCAAACCCUUCUGGGAAUCAGAGCAUAUGUCCAGGAGAGCAUCAGAUACUUAGAGAAAGUUAGAAGGAGAAGAAGUAAUUUUGCUUCUCUUCUGAACUGAAUCACAAUUAUAAUGUUCGCUGACAACUUUCUGAUGCUUACUGUAACUGUAGCUUUUUUAUUUUUUUUCCCCCUCACACUGCAGAAGCAGCAUAUUCUUGUCAUGCAGCUGUUCCUUACUGUGUCUUCCUUCUGCUUUGGGUGGAUUUUCCCAUGUUCAAAUCCAUGGCUUUUCAGUUCUCCUGUCACUGAACAGCUGCAGGCUGAUACUAGAUAGAGCUGAUUUUUUUUUCUGUGUUCACAUACAAGCAGGCUUGUGAACCAAAAUUUUUUAAGAAAGCUGAUAAAUGAACAAGGUCUUUUGGACGAUGCAGUGUUCCUAACAUUGCAGACAAUAAAAAUCUUUGUAUUCGUACUCACUUAAAGCAAAGGAAGACAUAACUCAAUGUGUUUUAUCUGUGAGCCUCCAAGCUUUUCCCUACA